GACGAACGCUGGCGGCGUGCUUAACACAUGCAAGUCGAACGGUAAGGCCCUUCGGGGUACACGAGUGGCGAACGGGUGAGUAACACGUGGGUGAUCUGCCCUGCACUUCGGGAUAAGCCUGGGAAACUGGGUCUAAUACCGGAUAGGACUCCGGACUGCAUGGUCUGGGGUGGAAAGCUUUUGCGGUGUGGGAUGGGCCCGCGGCCUAUCAGCUUGUUGGUGGGGUGGUGGCGUACCAAGGCGACGACGGGUAGCCGGCCUGAGAGGGUGACCGGCCACACUGGGACUGAGAUACGGCCCAGACUCCUACGGGAGGCAGCAGUGGGGAAUAUUGCACAAUGGGCGCAAGCCUGAUGCAGCGACGCCGCGUGAGGGAUGACGGCCUUCGGGUUGUAAACCUCUUUCAGCAUCGACGAAGCGAAAGUGACGGUAGGUGCAGAAGAAGGACCGGCCAACUACGUGCCAGCCGCCGCGGUAA
rnacentral:rRNA from 1 species